CUCGGGGGAUAAGAACUCAGACUACAAGAAGCGAGUUUCUGUGGAGCUCACACACUCUCUGUUCAAACACGACCCCGCUGCCUGGGAGAUGGCCCACAACAGUGUCCCCAUGGAUGGACCCUAUCCAGAUGAAAUCUCUUUCCAGCUCCUCGUUUUCCUUCAUCAAAUAGUUUUUCCUGCAGCUCUUUCUUUGCACCAUCAACAAUUUUUUGGUGGAUCAAUCAAUUUCUGACCCAUUUUUCUGUUUUUGCAAUUCUUUAGUUCGUCUCACACUUUUUUUUUUUUUUACCUAAUCCAGUAAAGAGUUAAUUCACUGCAGUAGUAAAUACUGAGCCUAGUAUGAUGUUUUCCCUUUUUACAUACUGAGAAAUUAGAUUUAUCUGAGGCCUUGCACACAGUCAAAGGCCUUUUGUUAGACAUGUUAUUUAAUAA